UACGGGGGGAGCAAGCGUUGUUCGGAUUUACUGGGCGUAAAGGGCGCGUAGGCGGUCAGCACAAGUCAGUUGUGAAAUCUCCGGGCUUAACUCGGAAAGGUCAACUGAUACUGUGCGACUAGAGUGCGGAAGGGGCAACUGGAAUUCCCGGUGUAGUGGUGAAAUGCGUAGAUAUCAAGAGGAACACCUGCGGCGAAGGCGGGUUGCUGGGCCGACACUGACGCUGAGGCGCGAAAGCGUGGGGAGCAAACGGG
rnacentral:rRNA from 1 species